UACGUAGGGGGCAAGCGUUGUCCGGAAUCAUUGGGCGUAAAGAGCGUGUAGGCGGCUCGGUAAGUCCGCUGUGAAAGUCCAGGGCUCAACCCUGGAAUGCCGGUGGAAACUGUCGAGCUAGAGUCCGGAAGAGGCGAGUGGAAUUCCUGGUGUAGCGGUGAAAUGCGCAGAUAUCAGGAGGAACACCAAUGGCGAAGGCAGCGCGCUGGGACGGUACUGACGCUGGGACGCGAAAGCGUGGGGAGCAAACAGG
rnacentral:rRNA from 1 species